GUGUAUUUAGAAAAGUUCAAUAAAAUACACGAACUUUAUUAGUUAUUCAAUUUUGACUCCGAUUUCAUUUCUCUCAAGUAAAAAAAUGACAUGGAGUCUACGCGGCUCACUGAAAAUAACAUGGUGUCUACGUGACGUCUACAUGACAUUUACAUGGCGCUUAUUUAGUUCAUUGGAGUCAAAAUUAAAAACUAAUAAAUUCGUGUAUUUUAUUAAACUUUUCAAAGUACGCGUCAAAAAUGAAUUUUAGCCACAGUUGAUGUAAUUACGUGCAAUUAACCCUAAAUAUACAAAUAUGCCCCCAAUGCUUAUUUAAAAAAAAAAAAGACAAAAAAAAAAAAAAAACUACAUUUGUGCAUCCCUACCGCCCAUCUCCCCUCUCCACCUUCUCAUUGCUACGAUUAGGGAUGUCAAUCGGGCUAAUCCACCGUAUUUCAUGCUAACCCUAUCGGGUUACGGGUUAUUCGGGUGUGG
rnacentral:lncRNA from 1 species